GCUCCUAAUGGCAGCGAAUACCACGGCACCGGCAACGGCCCUAGUGAUGGAUGUUGCCGGCUGCCAUUGGUGAAACCAAAAGAAAAUAGGGGCUAUUUUGUUUAAAUGCAAAUCCGAUGACUGUUGGCUCCAAUCGGGCAUCGGUAAUCAGGAAAAAACCACAAGAAGGAAAAGAGAAAAGGAAAAAGGAGCUUACCUAGCUUCGAUGGCCAAAGAAGGGUUUCUGACGAUCUUCUUCCCAAUGGCAACCUGUGGAAGAGUACAAAAAAUUCCGAACAAUUAUCGGCGAUCUCUCAAGCGAUUUGAGGUGAUGAUCUAGGAGAGGAGAAGGGAUUCUUGCUGACAAAUUUUUCUAGAUUAAUCUGAACACCCGCAGCCCCAAUUUGGAUGAAAUCGGUAGAGAAGAGACUCCUCACCGGAGUCUUCUUCCUCCUCUCCUUCCACGUGCGAUGCGCGUGAUUUGUGAGGUUUUUUGGGCUCUUUUAAAAUUGGGCUGGGCCCAAGGUCUAAUGGGCUAGGUUAUUAUAGUUUGCACAGUAAUUACCAUAUUAAUAUAAAAAUCUUACUAACCUUAACGUGAGGGAUGACUUUGAGAACAGCUUCAGUCCGCUGCAGCAUCUCAAAGCAGUCUCCACCAA
rnacentral:lncRNA from 1 species